AGAGUUUGAUCCUGGCUCAGAACGAACGCUGGCGGCAGGCCUAACACAUGCAAGUCGAGCGCACCUUCGGGUGAGCGGCGGACGGGUGAGUAACGCGUGGGAAUAUGCCCUUUGGUACGGAAUAGUCCUGGGAAACUGGGGGUAAUACCGUAUGCGCCCUUCGGGGGAAAGAUUUAUCGCCAAAGGAUUAGCCCGCGUUGGAUUAGGUAGUUGGUGGGGUAAUGGCCUACCAAGCCGACGAUCCAUAGCUGGUUUGAGAGGAUGAUCAGCCACACUGGGACUGAGACACGGCCCAGACUCCUACGGGAGGCAGCAGUGGGGAAUCUUAGACAAUGGGGGCAACCCUGAUCUAGCCAUGCCGCGUGAGUGAUGAAGGCCCUAGGGUUGUAAAGCUCUUUCAGCUGGGAAGAUAAUGACGGUACCAGCAGAAGAAGCCCCGGCUAACUCCGUGCCAGCAGCCGCGGUAAUACGGAGGGGGCUAGCGUUGUUCGGAAUUACUGGGCGUAAAGCGCACGUAGGCGGACCGGAAAGUUGGGGGUGAAAUCCCGGGGCUCAACCCCGGAACUGCCUUCAAAACUAUCGGUCUGGAGUUCGAGAGAGGUGAGUGGAAUUCCGAGUGUAGAGGUGAAAUUCGUAGAUAUUCGGAGGAACACCAGUGGCGAAGGCGGCUCACUGGCUCGAUACUGACGCUGAGGUGCG
rnacentral:rRNA from 1 species